rnacentral:rRNA from 1 species
ACGGAAGGCAGCAGUGGGGAAUAUUGCACAAUGGGGGAAACCCUGAUGUAGCGACGCCGCGUGAGUGAAGAAGUAUUUCGGUAUGUAAAGCUCUAUCAGCAGGAAAGAAAAUGACGGUACCUGACUAAGAAGCCCCGGCUAACUACGUGCCAGCAGCCGCGGUAAUACGUAGGGGGCAAGCGUUAUCCGGAUUUACUGGGUGUAAAGGGAGCGUAGACGGCUUUGCAAGUCUGAAGUGAAAGCCCGGGGCUCAACCCCGGAACUGCUUUGGAAACUGUAGAGCUAGAGUGCAGGAGAGGUAAGUGGAAUUCCUAGUGUAGCGGUGAAAUGCGUAGAUAUUAGGAGGAACACCAGUGGCGAAGGCGGCUUACUGGACUGUAACUGACGUUGAGGCUCGAAGGCGUGGGGAGCAAACAGGAUUAGAUACCCUGGUA